rnacentral:antisense_RNA from 1 species
CCUCAUGGUGGGACAUGGACGAGCGCGACUAUCGGG